rnacentral:rRNA from 1 species
CCUACGGGUGGCAGCAGUGGGGAAUAUUGGACAAUGGGGGCAACCCUGAUCCAGCCAUGCCGCGUGUGUGAAGAAGGCCCUCGGGUUGUAAAGCACUUUCAGUGAGGAAGAACGCCUGGUGGUUAAUACCCAUCAGGAAAGACAUCACUCACAGAAGAAGCACCGGCUAACUCCGUGCCAGCAGCCGCGGUAAUACGGAGGGUGCGAGCGUUAAUCGGAAUUACUGGGCGUAAAGCGCGCGUAGGUGGCUUGAUAAGCCGGUUGUGAAAGCCCCGGGCUCAACCUGGGAACGGCAUCCGGAACUGUCAAGCUAGAGUGUAGGAGAGGAAGGUAGAAUUCCCGGUGUAGCGGUGAAAUGCGUAGAGAUCGGGAGGAAUACCAGUGGCGAAGGCGGCCUUCUGGACUGACACUGACACUGAGGUGCGAAAGCGUGGGUAGCAAACAGGAUUAGAUACCCCGGUAGUC